AGUGAACGCUGGCGGUAGGCCUAACACAUGCAAGUCGAACGGCAGCACAGUAAGAGCUUGCUCUUACGGGUGGCGAGUGGCGGACGGGUGAGGAAUACAUCGGAAUCUACUUUUUCGUGGGGGAUAACGUAGGGAAACUUACGCUAAUACCGCAUACGACCUACGGGUGAAAGCAGGGGAUCUUCGGACCUUGCGCGGUUGAAUGAGCCGAUGUGGUGUUAGCUAGUUGGCGGGGUAAAGGCCCGCCAAGGCGACGAUCCGUAGCUGGUCUGAGAGGAUGAUCAGCCACACUGGAACUGAGACACGGUCCAGACUCCUACGGGAGGCAGCAGUGGGGAAUAUUGGACAAUGGGCGCAAGCCUGAUCCAGCCAUACCGCGUGGGUGAAGAAGGCCUUCGGGUUGUAAAGCCCUUUUGUUGGGAAAGAAAAGCAGCAGGUUAAUACCCCGCUGUUCUGACGGUACCCAAAGAAUAAGCACCGGCUAACUUCGUG
rnacentral:rRNA from 1 species